GCCUACCUCAACAUGCGGCACUACGGGCAGCAAGGGAUGGGCGCAAGUGCCAGCGAAUACCAGACACCCUGAAGCCGGUGGAUGAUCAUCUCGACAUGUUCCUUGUGGUGCCAGCAACACUUGCACCGCUGGUGUGGCAUUCUUUGCACGCUAUGCUGGGAUAGUUUUUUAGGAGUGCCAUGUCUGGACAGCUUAUUCAGAAGCAGGCUGUCGUCGUCGAGAUCCAUGCUUUUUUUUUAACGGAUGAUGUUGCAGUGCCCACAUGGGCACUACAGAUUUGCAGCCUACAGGCAGUGUGCCCUGUGGCUGUGGAGCCGCUUGGGAAAGAAGAAUGGGCGGCCCCUGCCAUCCUGUGUGGUCAAGACAAUUAGGGGCAGGUACCCUGCUGACGUGUAUGCGGGCUACAAGGAUGCAGAAUAAAUUGCGUUGACCUAGAGACCACGCAACCCCCUUCCCUUGUCUCUUCACCCUCCCUGCAUGUGUGUGAAGUCGCUCGUAGCCAUGAACGGAAUCCUCUAAAUCACGUGACCUAUUAUCUACGAUAUCACGUGACCAUAACUAUGAUCACAUGAUCGUAGUCAAACC
rnacentral:lncRNA from 1 species